UGUACGCAAACAAAUAAAUUAAUGUGGUAAUUUGUCACUUAAUUAGGGAGCAAUAAGAUAUUAGGGCAGACACAUUACUUUUUCACUUACAAUUGCUUCCUGCACACAGGAGUUGACCCUUUUGUACAAUAACCAAGAGAGUGAUGUUCCUCAACUAUCAUAUACCUGGUACUCAACUAGUGGCAGUGCAAAAUGUUUAGAAAUUGAGAAAUGUCGAUCAAAUCUGGCAAGAAAAAUAAUAAAAUUUAAAAAAGUCAAAAGUUUUGUCGUGACAUCUUUGACCGUUUUGUGGGUGUGACCAAUAUGUGUUUGGUGUACCGAUAAAGAUUGGAAUAAGAAAUAAUAAAAUGAAAAAAGUCAAAACUUUUUUAAAAGGCGUGGCAGUUUUGUUUUAAAGCUGAGAGAGCUCCAUAAGGUCUUAAGAGCAACGUAUGGCAAAGUUCAAAGUGCAAAUGUGUGCAACACACAGCAGAAAUUUAAUAGUUUAACUUUUCUAACAACAAUAAAACAUUUUGGCUUUUCGAUUUCAAAUAACUAUAAUAUUUUUUUUAUAUUAAUAUGAAGAAAAAUAGUGGUAAAAUGGGUGUAACAUUGGUCCGUUGCUUGCUUUGUUUACUUCUGCUAUGUGCAUGGCUUCCUCCAAAUGGUGUAAGGUUUGGCAUUCCUUCGUUUUUUGUAUGAUUUUAACCUUCAUUUGCGGAAAAUAAGCUGUUGAUUUAUAAGGCGAUUAUCAGGCCAAUUUGGACAAUUGGCAUCCAACUAUAGGGUACCGCAUCCAGGUCCAACAUCCAAAUAAUCCAGGUUUUCGAGAACAAAACUCUCCGAACCGCCACUAACGUUCACCCUCUACACGACACAAGACAAUACACGAGGUUCUCAGCUUCUUCUGGGUGACAAAUGAAAUUAAAGGCAACAGCAGCCGGUACAUGCACAAGCUACAAGACCAUUUUAACAACCUGGGCCUCAACCUAUUGGGCACCAGUCAUCGCACCAGGUGGUUGCUCCGGUCCCACCCUACGGACCUCCCCCGAAACUAGCAGGAAAAUCCACGAAAUAACAAAUCCAAAUUGAAACAACAAAUGUAAAUUGAAUGUUUAUUAAACAAUUAAUGUAAUCUGAAUGUCAUAAAUGUAAUACCCAUUGUUAAGUACCGUCAAAAAAUGUAGUGAUUGUCCGCGAAGAACAGUUUUAAAUAAACUCACCAUGCUAGGACAAAAAAA